UUGAUCCGUUCUCUCUAGCUAGGCGACUCGGACGGGGCACGUUAGGGGCGCGCGGGGCGCUGGGUUAGGGUUGGGGUCCUGUGGCGGGCGCACACCAGCGGGGGGCCGGUGGUCGGAUCGACGGCCCGCCAAGGCAACACCGGUACGGUAGGCACGGGGUGGGAGGUCUACCCUCGAUGGGGCACGAACUCGGUAAUGAUCCUUCCGCAGGUUCACCUACGGAAA
rnacentral:misc_RNA from 1 species